rnacentral:rRNA from 1 species
GAGUUUGAUCCUGGCUCAGAGCGAACGCUGGCGGCAGGCUUAACACAUGCAAGUCGAGCGGGCGUAGCAAUACGUCAGCGGCAGACGGGUGAGUAACGCGUGGGAACGUACCUUUUGGUUCGGAACAACACAGGGAAACUUGUGCUAAUACCGGAUAAGCCCUUACGGGGAAAGAUUUAUCGCCAAAAGAUCGGCCCGCGUCUGAUUAGCUAGUUGGUGAGGUAACGGCUCACCAAGGCGACGAUCAGUAGCUGGUCUGAGAGGAUGAUCAGCCACAUUGGGACUGAGACACGGCCCAAACUCCUACGGGAGGCAGCAGUGGGGAAUAUUGGACAAUGGGCGCAAGCCUGAUCCAGCCAUGCCGCGUGAGUGAUGAAGGCCCUAGGGUUGUAAAGCUCUUUUGUGCGGGAAGAUAAUGACGGUACCGCAAGAAUAAGCCCCGGCUAACUUCGUGCCAGCCGCCGCUGUAAG